CCCCUCUCUGCCCUCCCAGGCGCCUGCUUGCGUCACCUACCAAGCUCCACAAGCUUCAGCUAAGGAGUCCCCCAGGCCCCCCAUGUGGGAGGGUGAAAACGACAUCUGUGAAGCAAAUGACCGAAGUAUCUCUCUGAGCAAGGAGGCUGUGCACCGAGAUCGCGGGUCAACCAAGGAUGGUCACCGCUCUCCACGUGGAAGCUCUGACCCACCCACCACGGGGCCAGAAUCAAAGGUAAAUAUCACUAUGGACUUGGGAACCAAAACUCAAUAUUCCUGUUUCAAUGAGAGAAAGUGAGAAACCAACGCAACAGAGAGGGGCCAUGAAUAAAUCUCCAAGAACUCCUUGGCGUGGCCA
rnacentral:lncRNA from 1 species